rnacentral:miRNA from 1 species
GGAGGACAGCAGACUCAGGUC